ACUGGGAGGCCAUUCGUCGUGUAAAAAGAAAGCGAAGACGAACAACAAAGCCUCCCAACCGGGAGGCUUUUUUAUUGGA
rnacentral:sRNA from 1 species